GCACUGCUGAUGAGUCACAAACAGGACGAAACAGCUGUCCAGUGC
rfam:Echinostoma caproni strain Egypt genome assembly, scaffold: ECPE_scaffold0030121